rnacentral:rRNA from 1 species
UACAGAGGUGGCAAGCGUUGCUCGGAAUCACUGGGCUUAAAGGGCAUGUAGGCGGGCGAGUAAGCGCCUUGUGAAAUCCCCCCGGCUCAACCGGGGGACCGCUUGGCGAACUGCUCGUCUCGAGGGAGACAGGGGCGACCGGAACUCUGGGUGGAGCGGUGAAAUGCGUAGAUAUCCAGGGGAACGCCGGUGGAGAAAUCGGGUCGCUGGGUCUUUCCUGACGCUGAGGUGCGAAAGCCAGGGGAGCGAACGGGG